rnacentral:rRNA from 1 species
GAUGAACGCUGGCGGCGUGCCUAACACAUGCAAGUCGAGCGAACAGACGAGGAGCUUGCUCCUCUGACGUUAGCGGCGGACGGGUGAGUAACACGUGGAUAACCUACCUAUAAGACUGGGAUAACUUCGGGAAACCGGAGCUAAUACCGGAGAAUAUAUUGAACCGCAUGGAGCAAUAGUGAAAGACGGUUUUGCCGUCACUUAUAGAUGGAUCCGCGCCGCAUUAGCUAGUUGGUAAGGUAACGGCUUACCAAGGCAACGAUGCGUAGCCGACCUGAGAGGAUGAUCGGCCACACUGGAACUGAGACACGGUCCAGACUCCUACGGGAGGCAGCAGUAGGGAAUCUUCCGCAAUGGGCGAAAGCUUGACCGAGCAACGCCGCGUGAGUGAUGAAGGUCUUCGGAUCGUAAAACUCUUUUAUUAGGGAAGAACAACUGUGUAAGUAACUAUGCACGUCUUGACGGUACCUAAUCAGAAAGCCACGGCUAACUACGUG